rnacentral:rRNA from 1 species
GAUGAACGCUGGCGGCGCGCCUAACACAUGCAAGUCGAACGGCACCUGCCCUCGGGCAGAAGCGAGUGGCGAACGGCUGAGUAACACGUGGAGAACCUGCCCCCUCCCCCGGGAUAGCCGCCCGAAAGGACGGGUAAUACCGGAUACCCCCGGGCGCCGCAUGGCGCCCGGGCUAAAGCCCCGACGGGAGGGGAUGGCUCCGCGGCCCAUCAGGUAGACGGCGGGGUGACGGCCCACCGUGCCGACAACGGGUAGCCGGGUUGAGAGACCGACCGGCCAGAUUGGGACUGAGACACGGCCCAGACUCCUACGGGAGGCAGCAGUGGGGAAUCUUGCGCAAUGGGGGGAACCCUGACGCAGCGACGCCGCGUGCGGGACGGAGGCCUUCGGGUCGUAAACCGCUUUCAGCAGGGAAGAGUCAAGACUGUACCUGCAGAAGAAGCCCCGGCUAACUACGUGCCAGCAGCCGCGGUAAUACGUAGGGGGCGAGCGUUAUCCGGAUUCAUUGGGCGUAAAGCGCGCGUAGGCGGCCCGGCAGGCCGGGUUUCAAAACGGGGGGGCUCAACCCCCCGAACCCCCCGGAACCUCCGCGGCUUGGGUCCGGUAGGGGAGGGUGGAACACCCGGUGUAGCGGUGGAAUGCGCAGAUAUCGGGUGGAACACCGGUGGCGAAGGCGGCCCUCUGGGCCGAGACCGACGCUGGGGCGCGAAAGCUGGGGGAGCGAACAGGAUUAGAUACCCUGGUAGUCCCAGCCGUAAACGAUGGACGCUAGGUGUGGGGGGACGAUCCCCCCGUGCCGCAGCCAACGCAUUAAGCGUCCCGCCUGGGGAGUACGGCCGCAAGGCUAAAACUCAAAGGAAUUGACGGGGGCCCGCACAAGCAGCGGAGCAUGUGGCUUAAUUCGAAGCAACGCGAAGAACCUUACCAGGGCUUGACAUAUGGGUGAAGCGGGGGAGACCCCGUGGCCGAGAGGAGCCCAUACAGGUGGUGCAUGGCUGUCGUCAGCUCGUGUCGUGAGAUGUUGGGUUAAGUCCCGCAACGAGCGCAACCCCCGCCGCGUGUUGCCAUCGGGUGAUGCCGGGAACCCACGCGGGACCGCCGCCGUCAAGGCGGAGGAGGGCGGGGACGACGUCAAGUCAUCAUGCCCCUUAUGCCCUGGGCUGCACACGUGCUACAAUGGCCGGUACAGAGGGAUGCCACCCCGCGAGGGGGAGCGGAUCCCGGAAAGCCGGCCCCAGUUCGGAUUGGGGGCUGCAACCCGCCCCCAUGAAGUCGGAGUUGCUAGUAAUCGCGGAUCAGCAUGCCGCGGUGAAUGCGUUCCCGGGCCU